GGGCUAUUCUAACGUCAGCAAGAAUCGCCGGCUUACCGAGUUCGUGGGACUGAGCGCAUGUUCAACCUUCUUGUCGAGUGUCCUAAAGAUCGUGCUGCGAAAAGCAGGGACUGAACAACGUCACUACUGCAGCGAUGUUUAAUGCUUUCGCUGCUGCUCUUAACGCCGGACAAUACGCUUUAUAUUUCGGGCAAUAAGAAAGUUCUACCAGCCUCCCCAAAUUGUGCAGAACGACCCUGCCAUGAAACAUUUGGCCUGCCUACUACUUCUUUUUUGCUGCGUCCAUUGCGUUCUCGCCCUGAAAAAUGCGGUGGUUAGGUUUUGCAUGACACCAAGCACGGUUCGUACAUGCCGAGAACAUGGCCAAUCUUGGGGUAUUGAUUUCGUGACCCGAGUGUGUAAAUUAUUCGUACCUGAUACUUGCAAUUCAACAACCCCAAGCAAGUUCGUUUCAGAAAAAAUGUGUCAACGCAUUUGCCUACCGCCACCAAAGCGAAAACUCUUGUGCAGCCUCAUGCCGAAACCAGGCCCCUGCUCUACGAGUAAUCGAACGUGGCACUUCGAUGCCAGCACCGGCUUCUGUAAACAUUUUGCAGGCGGAAAAUGCGGAACCAAUUCUAAUAGCUUUUCCUCGUGCGAAAAGUGUACGAAGAG
rnacentral:lncRNA from 1 species